rfam:Serpula lacrymans var. lacrymans S7.3 unplaced genomic scaffold SERLA73scaffold_7, whole genome shotgun sequence.
UUACCACUCUGGCCUUUUGGCUUAGAUCAAGUGUAGUAUCUGUUCUUAAUAGUUUAACCACUAUUAUGGAGGCACCGCCUCCAUUCUUUGGUUAUCUAAUUUUUGCCGCCCUUGUCCUCUUGUGCUCUGCUUGCAACACGAGGGGCGUGAUGACCUUGCUACUGCACUUACUGGCUUGCGUCGUCGGGGGAUC